ensembl:rRNA 5S_rRNA 5S ribosomal RNA
UGCCACAGCCAUAUCACCCUGCUGCUCAAGACCGGUUACUCAUUGAAGCUAAGCAGGGCUGAUCCUAGUCAGUACCUGGAUGAGAGACAACAUGGGAAAACUAGAUUGCUGUAGGAA